rnacentral:rRNA from 1 species
GACGAACGCUGGCGGCGUGCCUAAUACAUGCAAGUCGAACGCUGACGAGAGGAGCUUUCUCUCUUUGGUUGAGUUUCGAACGGGUGAGUAACGCGUCGGUAACCUUCCCUGUUGCGGGGGAUUACUAUUUGAAACGAUAGCCAAUACCGCAUAACCAUGGCUGACACAUGUCCUUUAUUCGAAAGGGGCAAUUCCACCACUACAAGAUGGACCUGCGUUGUAUUAGCUAGUAGGUGAGGUAAUGGCUCACCUAGGCGACGAUACAUAGCCGACCUGGGAAGGAGAACGGGCAAACUGGGACUGGAGCACGGCCCAGAAUCCUACGGGGGGCAGCAGGAGGGGAACAUCGGCAAUGGGGGCAAACCUGACCGCACAACGCCGCGGGGGUGGAGAAAGGUUUCGGAGCGGAAAACUCUGUUGUGAGUGAAGAAAGGGUGUGAGGGUGGAAAGUUCACACUGUGACGGUAGCUGACCAGAAAGGGACGGCUAACUACGUG